UACGUAGGGGGCAAGCGUUGUCCGGAUUUAUUGGGCGUAAAGAGCGUGUAGGCGGCCAUGUAGGUCCGUUGUGAAAACUCGAGGCUCAACCUCGAGACGCCGAUGGAAACCAUGUGGCUAGAGUCCGGAAGAGGAGAGUGGAAUUCCUGGUGUAGCGGUGGAAUGCGCAGAUAUCAGGAGGAACACCGGUGGCGAAGGCGGGUCUCUGGGCCAUUACUGACGCUGAGGAGCGAAAGCGUGGGGAGCGAACAGG
rnacentral:rRNA from 1 species